AGCGUACACGGUGGAUGCCCUGGCAGUCAGAGGCGAUGAAGGACGUGCUAAUCUGCGAUAAGCGUCGGUAAGGUGAUAUGAACCGUUAUAACCGGCGAUUUCCGAAUGGGGAAACCCAGUGUGUUUCGACACACUAUCAUUAACUGAAUCCAUAGGUUAAUGAGGCGAACCGGGGGAACUGAAACAUCUAAGUACCCCGAGGAAAAGAAAUCAACCGAGAUUCCCCCAGUAGCGGCGAGCGAACGGGGAGCAGCCCAGAGCCUGAAUCAGUGUGUGUGUUAGUGGAAGCGUCUGGAAAGGCGCGCGAUACAGGGUGACAGCCCCGUACACAAAAAUGCACAUAUUGUGAGCUCGAUGAGUAGGGCGGGACACGUGGUAUCCUGUCUGAAUAUGGGGGGACCAUCCUCCAAGGCUAAAUACUCCUGACUGACCGAUAGUGAACCAGUACCGUGAGGGAAAGGCGAAAAGAACCCCGGCGAGGGGAGUGAAAAAGAACCUGAAACCGUGUACGUACAAGCAGUGGGAGCCUCUUUUAUGGGGUGACUGCGUACCUUUUGUAUAAUGGGUCAGCGACUUAUAUUCUGUAGCAAGGUUAACCGAAUAGGGGAGCCGAAGGGAAACCGAGUCUUAACUGGGCGUUAAGUUGCAGGGUAUAGACCCGAAACCCGGUGAUCUAGCCAUGGGCAGGUUGAAGGUUGGGUAACACUAACUGGAGGACCGAACCGACUAAUGUUGAAAAAUUAGCGGAUGACUUGUGGCUGGGGGUGAAAGGCCAAUCAAACCGGGAGAUAGCUGGUUCUCCCCGAAAGCUAUUUAGGUAGCGCCUCGUGAAUUCAUCUCCGGGGGUAGAGCACUGUUUCGGCAAGGGGGUCAUCCCGACUUACCAACCCGAUGCAAACUGCGAAUACCGGAGAAUGUUAUCACGGGAGACACACGGCGGGUGCUAACGUCCGUCGUGAAGAGGGAAACAACCCAGACCGCCAGCUAAGGUCCCAAAGUCAUGGUUAAGUGGGAAACGAUGUGGGAAGGCCCAGACAGCCAGGAUGUUGGCUUAGAAGCAGCCAUCAUUUAAAGAAAGCGUAAUAGCUCACUGGUCGAGUCGGCCUGCGCGGAAGAUGUAACGGGGCUAAACCAUGCACCGAAGCUGCGGCAGCGACACUAUGUGUUGUUGGGUAGGGGAGCGUUCUGUAAGCCUGUGAAGGUGUACUGUGAGGUAUGCUGGAGGUAUCAGAAGUGCGAAUGCUGACAUAAGUAACGAUAAAGCGGGUGAAAAGCCCGCUCGCCGGAAGACCAAGGGUUCCUGUCCAACGUUAAUCGGGGCAGGGUGAGUCGACCCCUAAGGCGAGGCCGAAAGGCGUAGUCGAUGGGAAACAGGUUAAUAUUCCUGUACUUGGUGUUACUGCGAAGGGGGGACGGAGAAGGCUAUGUUGGCCGGGCGACGGUUGUCCCGGUUUAAGCGUGUAGGCUGGUUUUCCAGGCAAAUCCGGAAAAUCAAGGCUGAGGCGUGAUGACGAGGCACUACGGUGCUGAAGCAACAAAUGCCCUGCUUCCAGGAAAAGCCUCUAAGCAUCAGGUAACAUCAAAUCGUACCCCAAACCGACACAGGUGGUCAGGUAGAGAAUACCAAGGCGCUUGAGAGAACUCGGGUGAAGGAACUAGGCAAAAUGGUGCCGUAACUUCGGGAGAAGGCACGCUGAUAUGUAGGUGAAGCGACUUGCUCGUGGAGCUGAAAUCAGUCGAAGAUACCAGCUGGCUGCAACUGUUUAUUAAAAACACAGCACUGUGCAAACACGAAAGUGGACGUAUACGGUGUGACGCCUGCCCGGUGCCGGAAGGUUAAUUGAUGGGGUCAGCGCAAGCGAAGCUCUUGAUCGAAGCCCCGGUAAACGGCGGCCGUAACUAUAACGGUCCUAAGGUAGCGAAAUUCCUUGUCGGGUAAGUUCCGACCUGCACGAAUGGCGUAAUGAUGGCCAGGCUGUCUCCACCCGAGACUCAGUGAAAUUGAACUCGCUGUGAAGAUGCAGUGUACCCGCGGCAAGACGGAAAGACCCCGUGAACCUUUACUAUAGCUUGACACUGAACAUUGAGCCUUGAUGUGUAGGAUAGGUGGGAGGCUUUGAAGUGUGGACGCCAGUCUGCAUGGAGCCGACCUUGAAAUACCACCCUUUAAUGUUUGAUGUUCUAACGUUGACCCGUGAUCCGGGUUGCGGACAGUGUCUGGUGGGUAGUUUGACUGGGGCGGUCUCCUCCUAAAGAGUAACGGAGGAGCACGAAGGUUGGCUAAUCCUGGUCGGACAUCAGGAGGUUAGUGCAAUGGCAUAAGCCAGCUUGACUGCGAGCGUGACGGCGCGAGCAGGUGCGAAAGCAGGUCAUAGUGAUCCGGUGGUUCUGAAUGGAAGGGCCAUCGCUCAACGGAUAAAAGGUACUCCGGGGAUAACAGGCUGAUACCGCCCAAGAGUUCAUAUCGACGGCGGUGUUUGGCACCUCGAUGUCGGCUCAUCACAUCCUGGGGCUGAAGUAGGUCCCAAGGGUAUGGCUGUUCGCCAUUUAAAGUGGUACGCGAGCUGGGUUUAGAACGUCGUGAGACAGUUCGGUCCCUAUCUGCCGUGGGCGCUGGAGAACUGAGGGGGGCUGCUCCUAGUACGAGAGGACCGGAGUGGACGCAUCACUGGUGUUCGGGUUGUCAUGCCAAUGGCACUGCCCGGUAGCUAAAUGCGGAAGAGAUAAGUGCUGAAAGCAUCUAAGCACGAAACUUGCCCCGAGAUGAGUUCUCCCUGACUCCUUGA
rnacentral:rRNA from 1 species